rnacentral:rRNA from 1 species
AUCCGAGGGGUGCAAGCGUUGUUAGGAAUUACUGGGCGUAAAGCGCACGCAGGCGGUCAAUUAAGUCAGAUGUGAAAGCCCCGAGCUUAACUUGGGAAUUGCAUCUGAAACUGGUUGGCCAGAGUCUUGUAGAGGGGGGUAGAAGUCCACGGGACACGGUGAAAUGCGUAGAGAUGUGGAAGAAUACCGGUGGGGAAUGCGGCCCCCUGGACAAAGACUGACGCUCAGGUGCGAAAGCGUGGGGAGCAAACAGGAUUAGAUACCCUGGUAGUCCACUCUGUAAACGAUGUCGAUUUAGAGGUUGUUGUCUUGAACCGUGGCUUCUGGAGCUAACGCGUUAAAUCGACCGCCUGGGGAGUACGGCCGCAAGGUUAAAACUCAAAUGAAUUGGCGGGG